rnacentral:rRNA from 1 species
AGGACGAACGCUGGCGGCGUGCUUAACACAUGCAAGUCGAGCGGAAAGGCCCUUCGGGGUACUCGAGCGGCGAACGGGUGAGUAACACGUGAGUAAUCUGCCCCUAGCUCUGGGAUAGCUCCGGGAAACCGGGAUUAAUACUGGAUACGACCACCUUAGACAUCUUUUGUGGUGGAAAGAAUUUCGGCUAGGGAUGAGCUCGCGGCCUAUCAGCUUGUUGGUGGGGUAACGGCCUACCAAGGCGACGACGGGUAGCCGGCCUGAGAGGGCGACCGGCCACACUGGGACUGAGACACGGCCCAGACUCCUACGGGAGGCAGCAGUGGGGAAUAUUGCGCAAUGGGCGAAAGCCUGACGCAGCGACGCCGCGUGGGGGAUGAAGGCCUUCGGGUUGUAAACCCCUUUCAGCAGGGACGAAGCGAAAGUGACGGUACCUGCAGAAGAAGCGCCGGCUAACUACGCGCCAGCAGCCGC